UCACAACUGGGUGUUCUUUGUGGUUUGCAAACAGGGUCAGAAGAACAGAUCAAAACCAGAAAAGUUUUGUGGAGAAUUGAAGUUGGUCUUUGGCAGGCCAGAGCUUCUGCUUAUAUAUGUGGUAGACAAGGCUUCAAGAAUAGAAUGUGCAACUAUGAAAGGUCCUGCUUUUGUGGUCUUCACAGGGACCUGAGGACAGCACGAGCUGCAUGGUCUGCAUGAUUCUUGAUCCAAGGCAAAGGGACAGAGCUAGACAGCCUAAUACUGAUGACACAGACAGGUCCAAUCCUCCCUACCAAAGCUGAAGUGUGUCUGGCUUUUUGAAAGAGAGCAGUUUUAAUGGUGGAGAAAAAAAGCUUCAGUCUGUAGAACUAAUGGAGCAAGGAGAGAGCCUUAUGCAAGCAGGGCCACCAGUCAAGCUCCUCUACCAGCCUGUACAUAUAAACACCUCAGAGUUCAGGAUGGCACUGCAUGUACUUCUGGGUGGCAUUGUAUGAGGUGGAAUUCUCUGUUCCAUGCUGAGAACCUCAGAAGAACUGGAUGCAGCCUGGCCCAUGCUGGCGGGCAUGGGAAGAGCCUGAUAUGACUCCAGGUAUUGUGACACAGAAAGCUAUGCCUUGGCCAUGUUCUUGCAAUUAGUCAGAAAGAGAUGAUCCAGAGGAGUUCAGAGAAACACAGAAAUGACUUGGGGGCUUCCUGGAUUGACUUACGAGGAAAGAAUUGGAAGCAGUCUUGUUGAAGAGUCCUCCCAGUAAAGUAUCCUGGGGUAACUCAUGGACCCACAGAGUGCCUGUAGUUAAGCCGAAUUUUGCUCAGGUCCCACAUGCUCAGCGCAAGACUUUGUACUGAGGACUAGAGUUGUAUUGCUCCAUCUUGGAUAUUUUCUGCAAUUAAGGAGGGGAAAGAACCCACAAAAACAUUGCUUUUCCCCAUAGCAAAGGAGGCUAUUAGUGUGCCAUGCUGCUUGAAAGAGCUCUAACAUUUUGAAACAGGUCAUAAUAAAGAAAACAAUAGCAUGGUGCAAGAGCACAAAUGUGUAAUGACUGUGUUCUCUCAAUCCUUCAUCAUACUCUGCCCCCUCUGGCCCUGGAAUAGAGGACAAAGACCUAGUCCAUCCAGAGGUAUCGAGGUAUAACUUCCUGAACAGCAAUGUUUAGCUCCUAUGCAGGAGUAGCUUUCUGAAGCUGUCAAUAGAUAACCUGAAAAAGUAUCAUUAAUAUGUUUGGAUGUUUAGAAGGGACUAGGUGUUCUGUAGCCAUUUGUCUGAAUUUUAUGAUAGGGUAUUUGCACUCCAUAGAUGUCUUCUCUGAAGCUGGUUUUGGGACUUCUGAGAGUCAAUGAAGACAAUUUAGUCAAGAGGAAAAUGUUUCCUCUUCAGGAUGUAAACGAAAGAUGGAACUAUAUUCACCCCAUCAUUAAAGUGCUACCGUAGUGCUCAGCAAAGUUGCAACAAACACUCUUGCCAAAAUCACAACUUAGUGCCUCGAAUUUGGCUGGAGGUGGAUUUCAGCUUUGUUUUUGUCUACUUCAGACUUAAAAGGCAAGAAGCCUGGCACAACAAAAGGACUGACUCUCUUGCCUGUUAUUAAAAGAAACACCUCCUCCAGCCCAGUGAAGAGUUGUGCAAAAUGUGGGCUUUGGUUAGAAGCACUACCCUUCUAUGUAGGGCUGUGUUGCUCUCCUUGCUCUUGUGUAGGAAGUUUCACCUUGGGUUUCUUGAAGCAUGGUGUGAAAAAUGAAGGCCCUGUGAAUCUGAGUCCUUUGUAUGUGCCUUUUUUGGGGUGGAAUUUCUUUUUCUAAGGGUCUUCUGUUCCUGAAACAUCCAGCCCUUAAGAAUCACCAUUUUGAAAAAAUGGUUUGGGGUAGAAAUACUUGCAAAUUCCCAAGACAAAAAUCCAUCCAACUUUUUUUCAGUCUUCUUAGCAUCUAGUAUGAUAUGAAGGGCCACACUUUUUUCCUUAGGAGCCUUCACUAAAGAGCUGUGUUGAAAUGAGUUUUGCAGCUAGCACUCCUGUUGAAUAAAAUGUUUGAUUUCAGUGGAUUCCUUCCUGAGUAGCAUUAUGGAUACUGAUGGGAUACUUAUGCCAUCUUAUGGGUGAUUUGGAAGGCAAGCUGAAAGCAAAUUUCAGGCUUCUUCAGAUCCGGAUGGUGAAAAUUUGGGUUAAUUAAUCUGAAAGGAAAAUAACAAUCAAAAGGCUGUCCUGCUGGCAUGCUUCUACUGAGAUACAGGAGCUAAACACUUUGCCUCCACUGUAGAGGAAAAUAGGCACAGUACUGUUAUCCUGCUGCAUGGACUCUGUGUAAUAUAUGCAAGCUGUUAUCCACAGAUUGCUUUUGCAAGCUCAUUUCUUUUAUGAGUUCAUGUUUGGCAGCUAUUAAUUCCUCAAGUGCACAAAAUUCUGCUUAAACAUCUCCUUUGCAUUAAUUUGAUCUUAUUCCAUUCAGGAAAGGUUUAUGCAGUUCUGCUGCUCACCAGCUUAAAAUCUGUAGAGAUGUAGGAAAGCAGCUAGGACUAACAUUAUUCAGGUAACCAUUUUACUCACUACCUGCUAUAGCUGGGGCAGGAUAUGGAGAAGCUGCCCAAAAUAGUUGAUCAAAAUACUUUGAUUGGCAGGUAUGAUUUUUUUUUCCCCUGCUUUAAAGCAAGUUUAAACAUUCAAAGCCUGAAAGAGAUGAAUCAGUUAUAGGGGGGGAAAAGUCUGAGGAACAAAAUAUAUUUAUUUGGGAAAGCUAAAUCUCUCCUCAAAAAAGUGCUUAAAACCAGAGCCUGGUCUGAAUCUGAAUUCGCAUGCAGUUCUGCUUAAACUGGUGUUUUAUUGAAGAAACUGCAGCGGGAUUGGAACAGCCAGCAUGGGAUAUUUUCAGGUCCUUUCACACAGUGAUAGACUUCUUUUGCUCCUUGUUCCUGUCAGGCUUUCUUUGCUAUUGACUUAAUUUUUGCCUGUGCAGUGUGUAAAAAUCCCUCAAGUAUCAUCACAAACGGCACCCAUUCAACAAACACGCUGUGGGUGAUGCAGACACUGGUAGGGCUAAAAGGCCAUGGCGCCAAAGUGUUGGCUCGCUGCUGAUGUGUCAAAUAUCACAGGGCAAAAGGCUUUGUCUCUCUUCUGUCAUCCUGAUUUAUUAGACGUUUAAAAAGACAAAGUACCCAGACAUACAAACAUCGCUGUUUUGGGAAGGUCUGUGAAAUGGUUAAUGCGCUUGUUCCGCACAAAAAUGUAAAGUGUCGGUUCUCUGAUUACCUGCCGCUGGAAAGUGUUUGGACAGGUGCUGUGUUUCACCAGCCGUCUGUCACAGCCGACAGCUCGGAUUUAUGGCUGUGCAGCGGGUCCGAGUGCCGGGCUGCGGCUGCUGCGG